GAACGAACGCUGGCGGCAGGCUUAACACAUGCAAGUCGAACGCCCUCUUCGGAGGGAGUGGCAGACGGGUGAGUAACGCGUGGGAAUCUACCCAGCUCUACGGAAUAACUCAGGGAAACUUGUGCUAAUACCGUAUACGUCCGAUAGGAGAAAGAUUUAUCGGAGUUGGAUGAGCCCGCGUUGGAUUAGCUAGUUGGUGGGGUAAAGGCCUACCAAGGCGACGAUCCAUAGCUGGUCUGAGAGGAUGAUCAGCCACACUGGGACUGAGACACGGCCCAGACUCCUACGGGAGGCAGCAGUGGGGAAUAUUGGACAAUGGGCGCAAGCCUGAUCCAGCCAUGCCGCGUGAGUGAUGAAGGCCCUAGGGUUGUAAAGCUCUUUCACCGGUGAAGAUAAUGACGGUAACCGGAGAAGAAGCCCCGGCUAACUUCGU
rnacentral:rRNA from 1 species